GACGAACGCUGGCGGCGUGCCUUACGCAUGCAAGUCGAGCGGUCCACUUCGGUGGACAGCGGCAGACGGCUGAGUAACACGUAAGUAACCUGUCCUUCAGUGGGGGACAACCCCGCGAAAGCGGGGCUAAUACCGCGUACGCUCCCGGAGGGAAGUGUUCCGGGAGGAAAGCCUUCGGGCGCUGAAGGAGGGGCUUGCGGCCUAUCAGGUAGUUGGCAGGGUAACGGCCUACCAAGCCUACGACGGGUAGCUGGUCUGAGAGGACGACCAGCCAGACGGGGACUGAGACACGGCCCCGACUCCUACGGGAGGCAGCAGCGAGGGAUCUUGCGCAAUGGGCGAAAGCCUGACGCAGCAACGCCGCGUGGAGGAAGAAGGCCCUAGGGUCGUAAACUCCUUUUGCAGGGGAAGAAGGUCUGACGGUACCCUGCGAAUAAGCCACGGCUAACUACGUG
rnacentral:rRNA from 1 species